GUCACAGUGUGAAAGGUGGCUGCGGAGGUACCCGGGCUGCAAAGACGGAAUCUGGCCCAGUGUGCGAAUCUGGCCCAGUGUGCAAAUCUGGCCCAGCGUACAAAGACUGGCCCAGUGUACAAAUCUGGCCCAGUGUACAAAUCUGGCCCAGUUGUACAAAUCUGGCCCAGUGUACAAAGACUGGCCCAGUGUACAAAUCUGGCCCAGUGUACAAAUCUGGCCCAGUGUACAAAGACUGGCCCAGUGUACAAAUCUGGCCCAGUGUACAAAUCUGGCCCAGUGUACAAAGACUGGCCCAGUGUACAAAUCUGGCCCAGUGUACAAAUCUGGCCCAGUGUACAAAGACUGGCCCAGUGUACAAAUCUGGCCCAGUGUACAAAUCUGGCCCAGUGUACAAAGACUGGCCCAGUGUACAAAUCUGGCCCAGUGUACAAAUCUGGCCCAGUGUACAAAGACUGGCCCAGUGUACAAAUCUGGCCCAGUGUACAAAUCUGGCCCAGUGUACAAAGACUGGCCCAGUGUACAAAUCUGGCCCAGUGUACAAAUCUGGCCCAGUGUACAAAGACUGGCCCAGUGUACAAAUCUGGCCCAGUGUACAAAUCUGGCCCAGUGUACAAAGACUGGCCCAGUGUACAAAUCUGGCCCAGUGUACAAAUCUGGCCCAGCGUACAAACACUGGCCCAGUGUACACAUCUGGCCCAGUGUACAAAUCUGGCCCAGUGUACAAAGACUGGCCCAGUGUACAAACAGCGGAUUGCUAAGGUGACUGAGACCACAUUAAUUCUUUCAACACUUAUGGGACGACGCUGUAUAACCGAUGAGCGUUCUAUUCAUUCAUUUCUUAUUGAACAGGGAUUCAGCUUCACAAGAGACUCUCCCAGGGCCUCGUCUAGGCUUCAUAGAUACUUGGAGAAAUCAGAUGACUUUAAGAAGUUCAGAAUGUAGCAGAGAGACAAAUCUAAACAAAAGAGCAAUAUCAUGUGUUGACGACUCCGCACAGGUGGCACAAGUGCUUUGGGAGUGAAGAAGGGAGAGUGGAAACUUCUCAGGGUCCAGGGAUAGAACGAAGGAAGGAAGACUUUUGUUGGAAAUUUAUACCCCCAAUAAUCAGGAUCGAUUUUUUUCUAGCCCCCCCCCAAUAAAUGUCCUCUGUAGAACUAAUUUGCUUGCCAUGCAGAUGGAGCUGUAGGGCAGAUCCUCGGCUCUCGGCUUUCAGCCAGAGCUGGAGUGUAUGGGUGGAGGAGGUUGGUGACAUGCCAGUGUCCUUGAAGAGACGCUACCUGAACUGAAAUGGGGAGAGUCCACCUGAAGAAUCAAUGCGAACUCCCCGAAGAACAGGCCAAGGAUGUGCAGGCGCAGGGUUGCAUGUGCAAAGUCCCUGAGAGCUUAAACCAGUUACUCUUGAAGUAUAAAAUUCAGUUCAUGUAAUUGAGUUAAAGAUAGACUUGUAGUUAGGAUUUAUACCUUCCAUUUUUUUAAUGAUAUCUUUAACUUCUAUUUUAAGAGAUACAUGAGCAGUCCUAUGAGAAAGAAUAAUUAACAUCAGAAAAAGUGGGUAUUCUGAAGAGAGCUUAAAAAUGAUGAAAACAGAAAAUCAAAUGCCUAUUAAAAGUACCAGCACAGUGCAGUGUAGAGUGAUGGAAAGAGCCCUGGACGGAGACAGGGACUUUGCUCUUGGUUCAUGAAGAGUACGGACUGGUCAUGUCCUAAGUUCCAGGCACCGUCCUAAAUACUAGGACAUAAUAAAGCAUGCAAAUCAAUGAAACAAGUAACAUAGGGAAAUAGAAGGUGGAUAAGAGGAGUACCUGGCACAAUGUGCUAUACGAGGGCUUGGUAUUAAAACAGAAAUUCUAUUUCAACCACCCUCUUAUACGCAGUGCCACAUCCUUUAUGUAUAGGCAUGUGGCACCAUAUAUAUGGAAGAAGGUGAUUGACCUAGCACUAUAUCUAGAGAAGCCAAGCUUGAAUGAACUGGCUAAAAUCACUGUCCUUUUCUGUUCAUGUUCCACUGAUUGCUCCAUCACUUGACUGAAAUGGCUCCUGCUAAAUUUUAAAAUGACGUCCUUCUUAGUAAGCCGCAAAUAUUUUUCAGGUUUCAUUAAUCCUAAAUGCUCCACAGGAUUUGUUGACUGCCCUUUCUUCCUUGGAUUCUGCAACUGUAGAUGCUCUCUUGAUUUAACUGCCUCUCUGGCCACUGAUUCUUGGUCUCCUCUCUGAAGGUUUAGUCUAAGACCAUUUCUUUUGUCUUAAAAGUGAUGUUCUCCAAGCCCCUGGCUUUAGUUGCAACCUAGAAGUGAUUCUCAAGAUUGUUUCUUCCAUUCAGAGCUUUUUUUCCUGGACUCCAGACUCCUGUAUCCACUGCUUACUUGUCAUUUUCGCAUUAGGAUAUUUCAUACAGGUCUUAGAUGGAAAUGCCCCAAAUUGAAUCUCAUUACCUUUCUCACAAGCCUGGUUCACUCUAUUUCGGUCUUGGUAACAGCCUCCAAAUAGUUGCUCAAGCCAGAAAACUGGGCAUUAUCAUUGACCAUGACGUCUUCAGAGUUCUGAUUUUAUCUCCUAGAAAUCUCGCAAGUGGGAUCACUUGUUUCCAUCCCUUUCCAGUAAAUUGUUAAUAUUCUGAUAUUAGGAUAUUUACUCCCUAAUCCAAUAGUCUGUCUUCUGGGUUAUUCUAACAGUCUCUUAGUUGUUCUCCUUACAUUUACUUCUGGGAUAUAAUGGGCAGAGUCACUUUUAAAAUCACAAAUCUACUUAAAAUCCUUAAGUAGGUCUCCUGUCUCUCUUGGGAUGAAAACCCACAUCUUUACCAUCAGUUAACAGAUUCUUCAAGGUCUGGUUCCUGCUUGUUCUCAGCCUCAUCUCCUGCUCCCUUUCCCCUCUGUGUUCCAGCCACAUCAGGCUUCCUCACAUCAUUAAAUUUGUCUUGUUAACUGUACUCUCUGCACCAUCAUACAAAUGGUUCCUUUUGCCUGACACCUUCAGUCCUCUUGUUAUUUUUCCUUUUACUUAGUUAACUUUUACUCAUGGUUCAGACCUCACCUCAAAAUUUAUAUAGAGAAGCCUUAUCUGACUCCCAGACUAAAUAGAGCCUUUCUUAAAUAUUCUUUAAUAGCUCCUUUUGUCUCUGACCUCAGUGACUUUGGAAACACAUGCUAAAGAUGGCAGAGGUUCAAUAGCCAGGCUUCCCAAAUGGCUCAGGGAAACAGAGCCCUUCCUGCCAAUGUGGAACCACAGGAGCCCUUCCUGCCAGUGUGGAGUGAGCAAGACAUUUCUUUUGCUGAACUAUUGCAUAUUUGAGCCACUUUCUUACAUGUUCGUUAAAACAAAUAGGUGAAUGAAUUCUAAACAGCAUUUUCAAAAGUAUGAUUAGUGACCCAUUUGGCUUUCUGUGGUUUGUAGAAAAUGAGCAGUGUUUAUACUUCAUGAAUUCAGUUUGCCGAAUGCUUUUUUUGGUGUGUGUUUCCAAUAUGUCCGUCAUAGUUCAAGACACUGGGAAGAAAGGAUGGUUAAAACAUGCUGUUGUCCUCAAGAAACUUUGUGGAGAACAGACAUGAAAACAAAAGUUGAAGAUACAGUGGCAACUGUCACUUUAGAAACAUCCAUUAGGAGGGACCAGUAUAGAGAAGGUAGAGGUUAAUUCGGUUAAUUGUGGUUAAUUCAGUAUGGGAAUGAUGAGUGGAGGGAAUGGAAAGUCUGACCUAGAAACGUCCUUGUCAAAAGAUUGUCCACGCUCGUGUGUGCGUCGUGGUGCCUGGGUUCUACCAUCCAUUCCCUUUCCCUAAAGCUUCAGAUCUCUGAGUGUCCUUGACAAGAAGAGAUGGGGGGUGGGGGUUGGGGGGACGUAGGGAGGGGAUGGACCGGGAGGUUGUGGUUAGUGGAUACAAACAAUUACAUUUGGAAUGGAUGAGCAGUGAGGCCCUGCCGUGUAGCACAGGGAACCCUAUCCAGCCUCUUGGAAGAUGACUUGAUGGGGAAAGAAUAUGAUAAAAAGAAUGUACAUAAAUGUAUGUAUGUAUGACCGGGUCACUUUACUGUACAGCAGAAGUUGAUAAGACUGUAAAUCAACUAUAAUUUAAAGAAAAAAAGGCUGUUUUGUCCCCUAGUGGAUGACAUGACAAUACACCAUGGUAGUAAAUUUUAGGUGACAGUGGGAGGCGAGUAGAAAUGGGCGAAAGUGCCGAAGGUGGUGAGUAUGUCUCCGUAGCUUGGGCUGCUGCUUUAGUUCCUUGGAAGGCCUAAGUAGGAACACAGGUAAAUGAUCCAUCGUACGAGGACGUGCGAAGAGGAAGGGACAUACCAGACAGCAGUUUUUGGAAGGUAUGUAGAGAGAAACCUUUACCAGGCUGCUUUGUCCCUUUAAGAUUCUCUCUCUGUUUAACUACAUGUCCCUGAUUUUCUGGGUCAAACCCAAUUUUAAAUAUUCUAUUUUGUUGUCCUUAUGUGACUUUGAGGCCUCUUCCAAAUAGUUAUUUGAAAUAUGGGAACCAAUGUUGCCUUCUCUUAAAGAGAAAGUGUGGAUACUAAGUAAUUUUGAAAUAAGGGCAACGUAUUUCUACAUAAAAAUGCAAAUUUGACCUAUGUGGUUAUAAAGGAAGCCAUUGUAAAGAAAUAUGAAGCCAGAAGGUGGGCCAGUGAUGCUGGAACAUUCAUGAAAAACAGUGCCAGGUAAUCCUGGGAAGGAACUGUUUUUAAAUUUAAUUUUUUAAAUGACUUUUAUUUUUUCCAGUGUAGAUUUUUUAAAAAAACUUAUUACUAUUUUUUUUUUGUCUUUUUGCCUUUUUCGAAGGCUGCUCCUGAAGCAUAUGGAGGUUCCCAGGCUAGGGAUCUAAUCAGAGCUGUAGCUGCCAGCCUACACCACAGUCACAGCAACCGUGGGAUCCGAGCCACAUCUGUGACCUACACCACAGCUCACGGCAAUGCCGGAUCCUUAACCCACUGAGCAAGGCCAGGGAUCGAACCUGCAGCCUCAUGGUUCCUAGUCAGAUUCGUUAACCACUGCACCACGACGGGAACUCCCUUAUUACUAUUAUUUUUUAUGAUUUUUAUUUUUCCCGUUAUAGUUGGGAAGAUGUUUAUUAAUCAUAAUCAAAACUGCAAAGACUUCAUAUCCCAACCUUCAGUCACCCCAUGGCUAUGUCUACUGGUGCAUCCUAAGCAAUGUGAAAAGAUAACACGGUCUUGACAGGAUACAGAAGCCAAGGUUUUAGUCGAACGCUUUUCUCUUUUUCGUCCUGGGGGGUGACCCAGUGGGAAUCCAAAAGGAAUGGCAAUACUGUGCAAGUGGGAGGAGAGAGUAUCGCCCCAUGAAGGUUUUCCUUCUUCCUGGUGGUGGGGUGGGGGGCAGGCUGGGUGAAAGAGAUGACGGUGAAUGCUGCCCAGACCUGAGUUCUGCCACCAACCACCAAGAGCCAAGAAAGUUCUUCCUGCACAAUUAAAAUAGGCAAAUCAUAGCUGCUUUUUCUUUCUGUGAGGAUUACAUGAGACCCACCUGUGAGCCAAGGGGCGCUCAAAAUCGUGGAGAAGGGAAAAGAACCACGAAGUAUGGAUUAGUCGAAGCGAGGCACACAGACACUGGAGAGGGAGGAAAUCUACUUCAGAGCAAAGUUAGAGAGGGCAGAGGGCCAAACCCAGCUUUUGCACUCUGGCUUUGGCCGGCUCUGGGGUCUGUCCUUAGCAAAUGGGAGCUUGAGAAAAGAAGACAGGAAAAGAAAAGCUGGUGAAUUAAGGGAGCAAGGCAGUGGGGGGGAAAAACAGAGAAAGGACUAGUGGAGAGAAAAGAAAUGUGAAAAAGAGCGUAAAGGGGAAAAGUCAGGUCAGUUUGUCCAUUUGGUCUUCUGUUAGCCAGAGGGCAGAAGGAAGAGAGAAGCUAAGGAAAAUGCAACAGCUUGGGAAUGGAGAGGAGAGCGGUGGGGGGAUUCCGAGGGUUUUGAGUGUGGAUUUGCUUCAUAAGGAAUGAGAGCUGGUGCCUGGGGAGGGACUAGGGGCUGGGACCCCAAAUCGUAGUUCAACUGGGAAGAACCCAGGAGGUGUAUCUGCCGUCAUUCAAAUCCACAGAAAGAGUCUGCUGUGAACCUGAGAUGACAGAGACCAUGGGUGUGUUUUGCAGGCUGCCUCAGAAGGAAAAGCACGGGGCACUGUGGCGAUUGCCCCAAGCUCAAGCCAAGGCCAAAGCCCGGGACUGCUAGUUCUCUUCAGGGUCGACACAGGGGAUGUAGGUCCUAUGGCAAUUUCACCGGAAAACAAAACAAAACGAAACGAUGACUGGUGGACGUUCCAUUAACGGUAGCAGAGAGAUGUGGCAUUAGGAUAGGAAAACAGAACAGGGUGAAUACAAAGCUGUGGAGAGGAGCAGGAGCACCCCACCUCCUCGUCGCUUUUAACCCAGAACAGAAAUGUGUCCUGGCUCUUGCUGGAAUACCCAGAGGUGUCCUUGACAUGCAUGCCAGCAAGUCAUGGGAGAAGGAAAGGCCUGAAGACAAGUCCUAGCUAAGGGCAAGGCAGCAUGAGGGGUUUAGGAAUAAAGGAAUCCUUAAGUGUUUUGGGGUGGGUGCCCCCUCAAAAAGGUUGCUACUUGGGUACUUAUGGGGGAGAUGGUGGAAAUUAUUAUUGAUUGAAUGGGGGAAAUUAUUACCAAAGCAUACUGCUUUUGUCUCUUGAAAAUGGAUUUGAAGGUAUAGCAGGAAUUUAGGUAAGCUAGUCAUAAAGAAGAAUGGAAAUAAAAAUGCUGGGAGAACGUUCUUUUUAGAGACAAAAGGAAAACCGCUACUCAAGAAGAGAAGCCAGAGUUGGAAGUCCAUUAAAGAAGAAAGAAAAGAUUGGGAAUAAAGAACCCCCAGAGAAGCCAAUAUAAGGAAAGACUGGGGAAAAAAAAAAGAGACAAAAAUAACGGACUUUUCCAUACUUGGGUUCUAAGUUU
rnacentral:lncRNA from 1 species